GACGAACGCUGGCGGCGUGCUUAACACAUGCAAGUCGAACGGUGAUGCUCCAGCUUGCUGGAGUGGAUCAGUGGCGAACGGGUGAGUAACACGUGAGCAACCUGCCCCAGACUCUGGAAUAAGCGCUGGAAACGGCGUCUAAUACUGGAUACGAAACUGGCCCGCAUGGGCAUGGUUUGGAAAGUUUUUCGGUUUGGGAUGAGCUCGCGGCCUAUCAGCUUGUUGGUGAGGUAAUGGCUCACCAAGGCGACGACGGGUAGCCGGCCUGAGAGGGCGACCGGCCACACUGGGACUGAGACACGGCCCAGACUCCUACGGGAGGCAGCAGUGGGGAAUAUUGCACAAUGGGCGAAAGCCUGAUGCAGCGACGCCGCGUGAGGGAUGACGGCCUUCGGGUUGUAAACCUCUUUCAGCAGGGAAGAAGCGAAAGUGACGGUACCUGCAGAAGAAGCACCGGCUAACUACGUG
rnacentral:rRNA from 1 species